CUCAGCCUUCAGUCGACAAGCACAAUGUCUCGCGUUCUCUCACUGGUGUGCCUUCUGGCUGUGGCCUGCCUGGCCCUGCUGUGUGGCUGUGAGGCCUCCUACCCUCUGGCCGUCUCACACGGACACGGGUACCACCCGUACAGCUACAAGUACCCUGGGUACGGGUACCACGGCUACUCGUCCCACUACGGCUACCCUGGAUGGGGCUACAAGGGGUACCCUGG